rnacentral:lncRNA from 1 species
CACAACUACCUCCGCCUCCCCAGGCUUAAGCAAUCCUCCCACCUCAGCCUCCCAAGUAGCUGAAACUACAGGUGUGCGCCAUCACCCCCAGAUCAAAAGCUGAGUGAAGCAGUGGUCCAGCUGGAAUUCAACACCUGAGAUAUCUGACUCCAGAUACCAGCCCUUCCUUGCUUCCCACUAGCUGCCUAACCCAGAGAGGAGAUUGGGAAAAGAGAAACAAGUUACAGAAUUCAAGAGUAGGUAUCAUCUGGGGUCUUCCUGAAGGAACAAGUGUUGCUCCAGAGAAGCCAGAAAUUCUUAUCUCUGCUUUGCUCUAACCACCUCUUUAGGCUUUAUGACUGAAGAGUCCCUUUGGCCCCUUAACUCCACAAGGCUGACCCUGGUGAUCAGCAGCUGAGAUCUACAUGAUACAGUCCAGACACCAGAAGGAGACUGAAUCUCUCUCCCAAAUCUCAGCUCUAAAAUUCCCAAGAGAGGGCCUCAUGGGUCCAGGCAGUGUCUGGUGUCCGUCCUGCAAUGGCCAGGAGCCAGGUUUUCUUGUAGGAGUGUGACAGCUCCUCCUGCAGUCGGGGAUCCUGGAUGGGGCUGAGGAGAAGUUCCAAGGCAAGGAGGAUUGGCAUCUGCUCCAUAAGUGCAUUCUUCUCUUUGCACUUGAUCUUUUAUCUACCUCAUAGAUAGAUCCUUCUUGCUCACACUUUCAGCCUGUCCUUUUUUUUUUUUUUUUUUUUUUUUGAGACAGGGUCUCGCUCUGUCACUCAAGCUGGAGUGCAGUGGCAUGAACUUGGCUCACUGCAGCCUCCACCUCCCAAGUUCAAGUGAUUCUCCUGCCUCAGCCUCCCAGGUAGCUGGGAUUACAGGCGUGUGCCACCACACCUGGUUAAUUUUUUUGUAUUUUUAGUAGAGAUAGGGUUUCACCAUGUUGACCAGGCUGGUCUUCAACUCCUGACCUCCCCAGUGAUCCACCCACCUAGGUCUCCCAAAGUGCUGGGAUUACAGGCAUGAGCCACUGUGCCCAGCGCUUUCAGCCAGUUUGACCUCUACUCAUGCAAAUUUUACCUUUCCCUUUAUGCCUCACUCCACCUCACGGCUUCACUCUCUUCUCCCUGAUCGCACCCCACUGUGACUGCCUGAAAUGCCACAUGUUUCUUCAUUCAGAUUUCUCAGAUAAUUCAAUGGUUCCACCCAUAAUUCCACACCUGGCCACUUCAUAGACAAUGACUCACUUAAGGACAGGCUGCCUCAGGGUGCACAGCCUGUAUUCAGGAAUCUGCUAGAGCAACACAUAGCUGUACCUUCUGCAAGGCUGUGGGCUGGAUGACUCCACUGUGGGCGUGGAACACGGGCUGGUGUCAUAAGGAGACAUUCUUUAUGCCUUAGGCAUUGAAAGGAUACUCCUUCCAAAAGGCCUUUCCCAGCGUUUCCCCCUGAAAUCCACUAACCAUAGCAUUUCACUGUUGACACUGCCAUAUAGUGCUAAGUGCAGUUGUCUAACUCCUACUGCCACAGAGAUUCAAGUGUACAAUGGCUUACACGUGUGAGAAGAUUAUUUCUUGUUCAGAUAUCAAAUGCAGAAUAAGCAGUCCAGAGAGGAGAUGACAGCUUUAUGGUGUUGGGGACCUAUGCUCCUUCUGACUUGCUGUUCUAUCAUCCCUUGGACGGUGGCCUCAUCUCCUUGGAUCCAGAUGGAUCACUACCACAUUCCAGCCAGUGGGAAGGGGGAAAUGCAUUUCCUUUUCCUUUAAAUGCGGGAGCCAGAGUUUGCACACCUCACUUCACUCACACCUUGCCAGCCAGAACGUAGUUACAGGGUCACAUCAAGCUUGAAGGAGAGCUGGCAAAUGAAGUCUAUUUUGGGUGGCCAUGUGCCCAGCUAAAAGUUGGGAAUUCUAUUAUUAAAGAGGAAGAGGAAGAGAAGAAUGCAUAUCCCACCAUUCUGUCACCGUUUUUGACUGCUCUCCACUCACUAUCCAGUCUGUCACAUGCUGGCACAUCCCAUUCCUGAUGCCUUUCCUAUGGGGCUCUAUUCUUCAUCCCCACCAAUACCACCAUGCAUUGGGCCCUUCCUGCUUUAUACCCACUGUCUCAUUAGAACGUCCUAGCUGAUCCCUUUGCUUUCAGUCACCUUCUGUGAUCAUUCUAUUAAUAAAUAGCAAAUCUGAUCAUAUGCCCCUAUUGUUUAGAAAUCAAUGGCUCCCCACUGCCCAUAGCAGUAAGAUUUUGAAUCCUUUUUUUUUUGAGACAGGGUCUCAUUCUGUCACCUAGCCUGGAGUGUAGUGGUGAGAUCACAGUCAUUGCAGCCUUGACCUCCUGGGCUCAAGUGAUCUCCCCACCUUAGCCUCCCAAGUAGCUGAGACUACAGGCACACAUCACAACGCCUGGCUAGUUAUUAAUUUUUUUUUUUUUGUAGAGAUGGGAUGUCACUAUGUUGCCCAGGCUGGGCUCAAGUGAUCCUCCUGCUUCAGCCUCUCAAAGUGUUGGGAUUACAGGUGUGAGCAACUGCAUUCAGCUGAGUGCAGAUUUUUGAAUCCCUGAAGUUGUAUGCAAAUUUUGCCUUCUUUUUUUUUUUUAUUGCAAAAACUUUUUUUUUUUUUUUUUUGAGAUGGAGUCUCACUCGCUCUAUCACCCAGGCUGGAGUGCAGUGGCACAAUCUUGGCUCACUGCAACCUCUGCCUACUGGGUUCAAGUGAUUCUCAUGCCUCAGCCUCCCGAGUAGCUGGGAUUAUAGGCAUGCACCACCAUGCCCUGCUAAUUUUUGUAUUUUUUAGUAGAGAUGGGGGUUUCACCAUGUUGGCCAGACUGGUCUGGAACUCCUGACCUCAAUGGGUCAGCCCACCUUGGCCUCCCAAAGUGCUGAGAUAUACAGGCGUGCGCCACUACGCCUGGCCAUUUUACUUUUUCUUUCUUUUUUUUCUUUUAGAGAUGGGGUCUCAAUCUGUCACCCAGGCUGGAGUGCAGUGGUGCGAAAAUAACUCACUGGACUCAAACAAUCCUCCUGCUUUAGCCUCCUAAGUAACUAGGAUUACAGACAUGUGUCACCAUGCCUGUCUAUUUUUUAUUUUAAAUUUUUUUUUGUAGAGAUGAGGUCUUGCUAUUUUGCCCAGGCUGGUCUUAAACUCCUGGCCUCAAGCAAUCCUUUCGCCUUGGCCUCCCAAACUUUUUCUGUUGAGGCCUUUGCAUUUUCAAAGGGGUCUGUUAUUCCCCUCAAGUUACAGGCACAAGUCCAAAUUCCAAGUAUCCAUGUACGAGUGUGGUAUGUUUCCUGACCUCCCUUUCACGUCUCCUGUUUAGUCACGUCUCCUGCGUAACUGAAACUAAAGUCAUUUUGAAAUUGUCUCCAUUGCCCAACAGGUCACACUUUUUCUUUUUUUUUCCUUUUUUCUUUUCGUGAUGGAGUCUCACUCUGUCGCCCAGGCUGGAGUACAGUGGCGUGAUCUUGGCUCACUGCAAACUCCACCUCCCGCAUUCAAGCGAUUCUUAUGCCUCAGCCACCCGAAUAGCUGGGAUUACAGGCGUGAGCCAGCGUGCCCAGCCCAGGUCAGGUCAUGCUCUUUCACAUGCCACAUCUUCCAUCCACCUGCCGUUAUAUCUAAACUCCUAGGCAUCGUUAUGGCUUGGCUGAAAAGCCACCUCCUCUGGGAGGCGUCCUUGACUCCCUUUGUCCCACUCAGUCUCCACAGCUCGACUCAGGCCUCCAACACUUGUCACAUUUCAUAGUGGUCGUUAGCUUACACCUGCCCCCCACCAACAAACCAUUAACUCUGGAGCCCAGGACUCUGAAUGGACACUCCACAAAUGUUUAUUGAAUAAAUGUCACUCAUGCUAAAAAAACUGGAGUGCUGUUUCUAACAUGUGAAUCUGAGCAUUGCUUCCUUUUUGCGGAGGAGCGGGGAAUGGUGUCUGGCUGUAACCCAGGCUUGAGUGCAGUGGUGAGAUACCGGCUCACUGCAGCCUCUGCCUCCCCAGUUGAAGCGAUUCUCCUGCCUCAGCCUUCCAAGUAGCUGGGAUUACAGGCACAUGCCACCACACCCAGCUAAUUUUUGUAUUUUUAGUAGAGAUGGGAUUUCACCAUGUUGUUCAGGCUGAUCUUGAACUCCUGACCUCAAAUGAUCUACCCAUCUUGGCCUCCCAAAGUGCUGGGAUUACAAGCAUGAGCCACUGUACCCAGCAUAGGCACAUUAAUAUUAUUUGAAUGGCCCAAAUCAAUGUUCUCUCUUGUUUUGGAGCUUUAUUCUUGCUUCUUCCUCUGCCUGGAACGUUCUCCUGCUCCUCUUUGCCUGGCUAGCUCCUACGUAUCCUUCAGAUAGUUAAAAUAUACCUCAGGAAGUCUUCCUGGAUCCCCUCCCCACUUCUAGGUGAAGGGGGUACUAGGCUGAGGGCCCCAUCUAUGCACACCCCCAGCACCCUAUGUUCGCCCAGUUGCAACGUGGCUCUCACUGCAAGGCGGUGGCUCAUUUGUCUUCCUUCCCUGCUCACAUGCAGUGCACUCUGUGCCUAACUCACCCGCUGGCGUAGCCCCAGCCUCAAGCACAGCACUUGGAAGGGAAGAGGUACCUGAUAAAUGUGUUAAAUGUGGGUUAGAGGAAUGGAUUUCUCCAUUUUAAAUCUUGAUUUCAAUACCUUUCUGUUGCCUUUGGAAUAAAGCCUUACCACAGCUUUUACAGCACUUUCUGAUGUGGUCUCCAUGUAAUUUUAGUCUCGUCUCUUAAAAAUAUACCCUUUGAUUUCAGUGUCCCACUCAAACAUGGUAGCCACACUGAACUGAAUGAAGGCCCCCAAAUGCCUGCUUUCCCUUCUUCCAGCCUCUGCAGUGAAACUGCCAUUGCAAACUUGUAACAGACAGUGAAAGAGAUCUGACCUAACCAACUUCAUCUUGCUUCUAACCUCCAAGCUGUCCUUGUUGGUUCCUGGGCACAGGCUGAACUGACUUUGGGAGAAAGUUUAUAGUUUAAAACAAAGACGAUAACAGCCCUUUCCCAAAACAAACCUCCUUCUUGCCUGGGGACUAGACUGCCUUUGCAGGACAAGAAAUUAGCCACAAGAUUAGAAAUUAUGGUUUAGGAGUCAUGCAGCUGGAGACUACCAGGUUCUGACCCUCCCUAAACUGCUCCUCAGAUCAGUGCUUGAGACAUUUUGCAGACCCUGCACUUGAUGGAUCGGCUGGCACCACCCAGAUCAAUAAACUGGCUCAUCUGAUCUUGCAGCCUCCACCCAGGAACUGACUCAGCGCAAGAAGACAGCUUCGACUCUGUAUGAGUUCAUCUCCAACCUGACCAAUCAGCACUCCCGGCUCACUGGCUUCCCCCCAUCCACCAAGUUGUCCUUAAAACUCUGCUCCCCGAAUGCUUGGGGAGACUUAUUUGAGUAAUAAUAAAACUCUGUUCUUCUGCACAGCCAGCUCCGCAUGAAAUUACUCUUUCUCUAUCGCAGUUCCCCAGUAUUGAUAAAUCGGCUCUGUCUAGGCAACCGGCAAGGUGAACUCACUAGGCAGUUAUGGCAGUACUCUUCUGCCUGGCACACUCACCUCUCAUUCCGCUUCCUUUUCUGCCUAACAUCCAGUAAUCUUUAAGUUCAUUGGCCCUUUCUCCAGGAAGCCUCCCUUGACUUUCUAAGGCCAGCUCUGGUGCCCUUUAGUGGUACCUCUCUGGGCUUCCUUCUGACCUUCUAUGUGUUUUCCCUAGUGGAUGAUGAGGCAAGAGACUGAACUGGACUCACUGUGAUGUCUCUAGUGCUGGGAACAGUGUCAGGCACCUGGCCGGUUUAUAAAUAUAUACAUAUACAUUUGAGACAGAGUCUCGCUCUGUUGCCUAGGCUGGAGUGCAGUGGCAUGAUCUUGGCUCACCGCAACCUCUGCCUCCCGGGUUCAAGCAAUUCUCCAGCCUCAGCCUCCUGAGUAGCUGGGAUUGCAGGCGCACACCACCACACCUCGCUAGUUUUUAAAAAUAUUUUUGGUGAAGACAGGGUUUCAUCAUGUUGUCCAGGCUGGUCUCUAACUCCUGACCUCAAGUGAUCUGCCCGCCUCAGCACCCCAAUCAAUAGAUAUUUUUAAAUGAAUUUUAGAGCUGAGGGACAGUGACAGGAAGG